UAGGGAAUCUUCCACAAUGGGACAGCAAGUCUGAUGGAGCAACGCCGCGUGAGUGAAGAAGGCUUUCGGGUCGUAAAACUCUGUUAUUGAAGAAGAACGUGUGUGACAGUAACUGGUCAUGCAGUGACGGUAUUCAAUCAGAAAGUCACGGCUAACUACGUGCCAGCAGCCGCGGUAAUACGUAGGUGGCAAGCGUUGUCCGGAUUUAUUGGGCGUAAAGCGAGUGCAGGCGGUCUUUUAAGUCUGAUGUGAAAGCCUUCGGCUUAACCGAAGAAGGGCAUCGGAAACUGGGAGACUUGAGUGCAGAAGAGGAGAGUGGAACUCCAUGUGUAGCGGUGAAAAUGCGUAGAUAUAUGGAAGAACACCAGUGGCGAAGGCGGCUCUCUGGUCUGUAACUGACGCUGAGGCUCGAAAGCGUGGGUAGCAAACAGGAUUAGAUACCCUGGUA
rnacentral:rRNA from 1 species